UACGUAGGGCGCAAGCGUUGUCCGGAAUUACUGGGCGUAAAGAGCUCGUAGGUGGUUUGUCGCGUUGUUCGUGAAAACUCACAGCUCAACUGUGGGCGUGCGGGCGAUACGGGCAGACUGGAGGUAUGCAGGGGGAGAACGGAAUUCCUGGUGUAGCGGUGAAAUGCGCAGAUAUCAGGAGGAACACCGGUGGCGAAGGCAGCCUCCUGG
rnacentral:rRNA from 1 species